GGUUGAUCCUGCCAGUAGUCAUAUGCUUGUCUCAAAGAUUAAGCCAUGCAUGUCUAAGUAUAAAUAAUUUAUAUUGUGAAACUGCGAAUGGCUCAUUAAAUCAGUUAUAGUUUAUUUGAUAAUACCUUACUACUUGGAUAACCGUGGUAAUUCUAGAGCUAAUACAUGCUAAAAACCCCGACUUCUGGAAGGGGUGUAUUUAUUAGAUAAAAAACCAAUCGAGUUUACUCGUCUAAUGGUGAAUCAUGAUAACUUUUCGAAUCGCAUGACUUACGUCGGCGAUGGUUCAUUC
rnacentral:rRNA from 1 species